GGGGAGCACAUCGAGCUCACAAUAUCAUACCACUUAAUAUUAAGGAUAUACUGGAUGCAGUUCACGAUAAAAUUCAAGACAGAGGACACAGGAGCUCACAUGGUAUUCAUUUCAUUGCUUAUCAUACAAUUUAAAAAUGUAACAUUGGUUGACACUAUUGCAGAGAUUGAGUCCAAUCACACAAACAUUUCAUACACAGUAAGGGAUGACAGUGGUUCAAUUGAAGUAGUCCAAUGGAUUGAAAAUGAAGGGGAAAAUGAACAUCUUGUUAAAACUCAGCAAACAGGAUUCCUACGACUUGGACUUCAUUCAAGUUUCAAACAUGAAUUUAUGCAGCAGCAUUGCUAGGGACACGCUGCAAGAAGACCACACACACGGCAGAAACUGACGAGAUCAUUGCACUAAAAAUGACUUAAGAAACCAAU